rnacentral:rRNA from 1 species
GAUGAACGCUGGCGGCGUGCCUAAUACAUGCAAGUCGAGCGAAGCGGGGACGGGUGCGUAACACGUGGAUAACCUCCUAUACGACUGGGAUAACUUCGGGAAACCGGAGCUAAACCGGAAACUUAUCGUUGGAUCCGCGCUGCAUUAGCUAGUUGGUAAGGUAACGGCUUACCAAGGCAAUGAUGCAUAGCCGACCUGAGAGGGUGACCGGCCACACUGGAACUGAGCCACGGUCCAGACUCCUACGGGAGGCAGCAGUAGGGAAUCUUCCGCAAUGGGCGAAAGCCUGACGGAGCAACGCCGCGUGAGUGAUGAAGGUCUUCGGAUCGUAAAACUCUGGUAUUAGGGAAGCGGUACCUAAUCAGAAAGCCACGGCUAACUACGUGCCAGCAGCCGCGGUAAUUC